UCCUAAAUGGAUGAGCAAAGAAAGUGGCUUCUUGAGAUAGAAACUACUCCUGGUGAAGAUGCUGUGAA
rnacentral:pre_miRNA from 1 species